ensembl:rRNA 5S_rRNA 5S ribosomal RNA
GUCUAUAGCCAUAUCACCCUGGAUGUGUCCAAUCUUGUCCAAUCUUGGAAACUAAGCAGGAUCGGGCCUGGUUAGUAUUUGGAUGAGAGAAAGUGUUUGAACUAAAUGAAAGAUUUGUGGGAUACAGCUA